AUGCCAGCGGGCGAGCACAGGGCAGCCACUUGCCGUCCACAGCCACGCGAUGGUCCAGACGUGCCCCCGCCCGUGCCCCGCCGCCUCUUCCAGGGUCGUGUCUGUCCCGGUGUGCGGCCUCGAGACCCCAGAUGCUACCUGCCUGCCGGGAAGCAGGGGCUCCGGGGCCUCUUCGGAGAGACCCCGGAUCCCCGUGUCUCCGAGUCCCCACUUCACUCCGGCUCCACGUGCGGCCCCGCGCCUAUGGCCGCUGCCCGCCUGUCGCCGCCCAGCCCUCUCAGUCGCUCCGCCUCUGCUCCCUCAGCGCCUCCUCGCUCCACAUGGCCCCUCCACCCUCCCCUUAGGCCCUCGGCUCUUUCCCUCAUUCCUGGGCCCUCCCCUCCCAACAGUGGCUCUUUCCCUGAAUCCUCCAUCCUGUCGUUGACGCUCCGUCCUUUCCGUAGACACUUGGCCCUCCCCUCCCCACCCGGCUCUCUUCAUCAAUACCGUGCUUCUCAGACACCCUCGGCCCUUUCCGCCUUUCCUCGCUGUCUCCAUGGGCACUCAGCCCUCCCCUCCCCCAUGCGGCUCUCGGUACAAGCUCUGCCCCUCAGAAACCCUCAGCCCUUUCCGUCUCCCCUCAAAUCUUUCCUUCAUGACUGCGAUUCGGACAAUCUCGGCUCGCUCGGCCAGCUGUCAGUUGUUUCUGUCGCCUCUCGGCUCCCUCCGUCAGGACUCUGUGACUCAGGCAAGCUUGCCACGCUCAGCCAGCCAUGGGUUGUUUCCAUCGCCCCUCGGACCCCAGCCCGGAUGCAGGCAUCUAGGUUCAGGCUCAGCCCGAGGGACGAGCUCCUGUGUGCUGGGCGGUGGCUGCAUCUGUUCUGUAAUCGCAGCUCACAGAGAAGUGUGCACCGGGGGAGGCCCAGCAUGGUCAGAAAGCAGGGGACAUCUGGAGAUUUGUGGUCUGGACCUCGGCAGCCUGUAGCUGAUAGGACCAGAGAAAGGGGGCAGGGGGCAGAGGUCAGAGAGCUGGGCAAGGCCGUGAGCUCAGCAGAGUCAACCCGAGGUGCAUUCGGGAAAGAAAACUCGGGGAGAUGGAGCCGCCCCUUGUGUCCAGACUCGUUUGGUUUCAUGACUGAUGACGAUUUUAGGCUGGUUACUUUUAAAACUGCAGAUGAGAAGCAGGCUCUGAGGACUGGAAUUUGCUUGCUCUUUGAGAGAUAUUUGCAUUUGUGA
rnacentral:lncRNA from 1 species